AGGGAUAUAGCUCAGGGUCAGAGCGCUCCCCUAGCAUGGGAGAGGGCUGCGGGUCAAUUCCCCAUAUCACCA
rnacentral:tRNA from 1 species